rnacentral:rRNA from 1 species
GAGUUUGAUCCUGGCUCAGGAUAAACGCUGGCGGCGCACAUAAGACAUGCAAGUCGAACGAACUUAACCCUUUGUUUACAUUGGGAGCGGUUAGUGGCGGACUGGUGAGUAACACGUAAGCAACCUGCCUAUUAGAGGGGAAUAACAGUGAGAAAUCAUUGCUAAUACCGCAUAUGCUCACAGUAUCACAUGAUACAGUGAGGAAAGGAGCAAUCCGCUAAUAGAUGGGCUUGCGUCUGAUUAGCUAGUUGGCGGGGUAACGGCCUACCAAGGCGACGAUCAGUAGCCGGACUGAGAGGUUGAACGGCCACAUUGGGACUGAGAUACGGCCCAGACUCCUACGGGAGGCAGCAGUCGGGAAUAUUGCGCAAUGGAGGAAACUCUGACGCAGUGACGCCGCGUAUAGGAGAGAAGGUUUUCGGAUUGUAAACUAAUGUCGUUAGGGAAGAUAAAAG